rnacentral:lncRNA from 1 species
GAGACCACACUUGACAACUAACAACUGACGGGAUGUACACAUUCAGUCCAGAUGACAAGCUCCAUGAGGGUAGGGCCCGUGGCCCUUUGCCUUACUCAGCCCAAAGCACCAUGACUGGAACAAAUACCUGUGAAUGAAUGAACGAACAAAUGAAUGAACUGAAUUUUCAAAUACAGGUUUCUGCAAUGCUUUCUGUUCUGUAUGCACGGGAUGCAGCCAGCAAUGCCAGCAUUUUUGUUCCUCUGAAUUCUUGUCGUUGGACACUGCCAGGAUUUAGGGUGGGGUCAGCCCGGGGCCAUUUUAGCCCCAAUAAAGAUCUGUUUUAUUCAAGGC